rnacentral:lncRNA from 1 species
GGAGGAGAUUGCCGCCCCAGAAACACCAAUUCUGCUAAAUACUGAAAGCAAAUCUCACACUUGGGUUCUUGAGAUCCCAUAGAGUGUGGCUUUGCCAUUCUAAUCUCCUGGGGAGAGGGGAGAUGUGGCAGGAAGAGACCACUGCACAGAAGACUCCUAGGCUGAUAAGAAUGUGUGAAGAUGACCUGCAGAUGAAUAUGCAAAGGAGAGUGCAUGGAGACCACCAGCAGAGGACUAAAUUAGAAGAAACAAUCUGGAAGGGUGCAGGCACUGGUUUGGCUGCCAUUAGUCUGAAAUCCAUACAGGAAUUCAGAGGGGAGACACAUGUUGCUAGAGAGACCAAUUCAGGGCUAGAGAGAGGCAGAAGUGAAUCUUCAAAGACAAGAGCUAAAUUUUCAGCUGUAAGGAAGGAAAGAGAUAUUAUACCAAGGUGCCUUGAUUCUGAUGGUCAUGGGGCAAGAGUUUUGCAUGGGGCCAAGAGUGAAAGAUGCUACUGGCUCAGACAUGCAGAGUUCUGGAGACGUAAGAAAGACUCAAGACCACUGAGGAGUUGCUUGGAUCCCUGAAGAUUGCUGCAGAUGUUUCAGGAUUGGGGAGUGAGAGUUUCGACCAGGAGUGGAUACUGAGGAGAGCAAAGAUCACCUGGUGCUCAUCAAGCCGGACUUCCAGAGGCAAAGCUCCUUAACUGAAGAAUUCAGAAGUAAUUAGACUUCCCUAUUAUCCAAAGCAGGCAUCUGGUACCAGCCUUCUUUCCCCAAAAUUUAUAAGUAACUACAAUUUCUAUACAGCUCCAGAAUGCAUAUACAUCAAAACUCAUUUUGCACCCCUUGAUGACAUCAAGGCACCAGAAUGCCUAAAAAUGUAAUCAUCUAUCAUGACCUACAUAGUUAAUAUGGUCCCAACUUACCCUUAAGCUCCUGCUCUAAGGUCCAUACACACCCCUAAGGAACAUCCACUGCGGUGGACUCAGUUCUCUCUUGCUGAGGCUCCCACUGAACUCCUCUGCAGCAUUAUUUCUUUCUAAUAAAACUUUCCUUUUCAUCCAGUCUAUCAUUGAUGGGCAUUUAGGUUGGUUCCAUGUCUUUGCUAUUGUGAAUAGUACUGCAAUGAACAUAUGCACGUCUUUGAGGAAUCACCACCAUGGAAUACUAUGCAGCCAUAAAAAAGAAAGAUAACAUGUCCUUCACAGGGACAUAGAUGGAGCUGGAGGCCAUUCUCCUUAGCAAACUAAACUAUGUAACAAACCUAUACUUGUACCCCAGAACUUAAAAUAAAAGUUUAAAAAAGCCCUUUCCUUUUCAAAUCUAUACUGUUGUUGGUAAAUUCUUCUUACUACCCAUGAGUAAAUCACUUUUUGUUGCCUGAGAUCUGACACCUCACCCAGCAGGCACCUACCAUUUUUACUCCCCAUUUACCUGUCUAAGCAGGAAUUGGUGACUUAACAAAUUUGGAGGAAGAUUUUAGCAGAAAGAGAAUUUGAUCAGAGCCUAGUGACUCUAACUAACAGACCUAUUAGUAGGCAGUCAAGGUUCUCCAGAGAAAUAGAAGCAGUAGGACAUGGGGCAGGGAAAAGGAGAGAGAGAGAGAGAAAGAAAAAGAGAGAGAAAGGUACCAAGGAAUUGGCUCAUGUGUUAGGGGCUGGCCAAGCAAAUCUGAAAUCUGCAGGGCAGGCUGUCAGAAAGGGCAGGCAAGAAACUCUAAGGGCCGAGAGCUGUGGUCCACAGGUAGAAUUUCUUCUUCUCCGGGAAACCUCUUUCUAGUGUGGCAGCAAAUAAUGACUAAAUGGAUUUUGUGGCUAAGGCAGCACAGAGAUAUAGAAAAAGUUCAACAGGUAUUAUUAAAAGGCAUUUAAUCUCUAGGCAACUCAGCUAGAUGAAAUGCAAUGAAAGAGUCGCUGCUUUUUUCAGGAGAGAUACAUGAGGCAUCUUUACCUAAUAAACACCAUUUGUUAUAUUGAAGCUUUAGGGCCGAAGCCAAUG